rnacentral:rRNA from 1 species
CAAGGGAUUUUCGGCAAUGGGCGCAAGCCUGACCGAGCAACGCCGCGUGGUGGAUGACGGCCUUCGGGUUGUAAACACCUUUUGGGGGGGGCGAUAAUGACGGUACCCCUUGAAUAAGCCCCGGCUAACUCCGUGCCAGCAGCCGCGGUAAGACGGAGGGGGCAAGCGUUGUCCGGACUCACUGGGCGUAAAGGGUGCGUAGGCGGCUUCGGGCGUCCACGCUGAAAUCUCUCGGCUUAACCGAGGGGCGCGUGUGGAUACGCCGAAGCUCGAGGCAUGGAGAGGAUGGGGGAACUCCUGGUGUAGUGGUGAAAUGCGUAGAGAUCAGGAAGAACACCCGUGGCGCAAGCGCCCAUCUGGCCAUGACCUGACGCUGUGGCACGAAAGCGUGGGGAGCGAACCG